AUUGAACGCUGGCGGCAGGCCUAACACAUGCAAGUCGAACGAGUGGCGGACGGGUGAGUAAUGUCUGGGAAACUGCCUGAUGGAGGGGGAUAACUACUGGACACGGUAGCUAAUACCGCAUACCAUCGGAUGUUCCCAGAUGGGAUUAGCUAGUAGGUGGGGUAAAGUCUCACCUAGGCGACGAUCCAUAGCUGGUAGGAGAGGAUGACCAGCCAUACUGGAACUGAGACACGGUCCAGACUCCUCAGGGAGGUAGCAGUGGGUAAUAGGGAACAAUGGGCUCAAGCCUGAUGCAGCCAUGCAGGGUGUAUGAAGAAUGCCUUCGUGUUGUAAAGUACUUUCAGCGGGGAGGCGUUACCCGCAGAAGAAGCACCGGCUAACUCCGUGCCAGCAGCCGCGGUAAUAC
rnacentral:rRNA from 1 species